GGAGCCCGGGCGCACGGGCCAGGCCGCGGGCUGUCCCAGGGAGCCCCGAGGGCGCGGUGCGCGGGCGCAGGUCGGGCGCAGGCGGGGUGACCCGGGGAAGGGGCGCGCACAGAGACAGAGGGAGCCAGCCGGGCCCCACGGUGUCCUCGGACGCCUCCGAAAUCUCCCUGCGUGUUUGUUUCUUCGGAGCUUCACCGGAGCCUGACUCUGGAACCGGCCUGUCUGCCUGCUGCAGUCUGGAAACGUUGUGUUCUGUUAGUCUUGGAGGCCAAGGCUGAGUGGGUUUAUCUCUGUGCCCCUCCAGUGACUUCAAAGAAUGCCAAAAGUCUCUCGAGUGUGCCUGUGUGCACACACAGACACACACAAAUAUGCAUUCUUAGAAACCAGAUAUACAAAGACAAGAUCUCUGCUUUCAAGAAGCUCUCAAUCUGAUUGAGGAGAGAAACAGGUAGCAAAUAAUGGCAGCAGAGCAUGGUCAUUCAACAUUUAUUCAACCAAAAAUACUAAGUCAGCUCUAUACAAACUAAUGGAAGGAUACAGCUAUGCAAAUAUAGAACACUAAAGUGUUACAUGACAGAUGUAUGAGAAGUACCUUUUGCCUCCCACUGUGAUUCUGAGGCCUCCCCAGCCAUGUGCAACUGUAAGUCCAAUGAAACCUCUUUUUCUCCUCAGUUUUGGGUAUGUCUUUAUCAGCAGCGUGAAAAUGGACUAAUACGAUCACCCUCUUCUUUGUUCUCCUUUCUAUUUCAUCGCUAAUUUUUUUUGGCAUUUGGAGGGUGCUAUACAUUGCAAAAGUUGGGGACUCACUAAUUCCACUGCUCACUGUAUAUCAAGGUAAUCUGUCAGGGGUUUGGUUUUAUAUAAGAAACAAAUGAGUCCCCAGAACAUACAAGUUAAGAUUAUUCAAUCAAGGGAGGC
rnacentral:lncRNA from 1 species